CACGUCUUUGGCUUCCCAGGUG
rnacentral:miRNA from 1 species